CUCCCUGCUUUAGGAAUGGGGAUUUAACUCACUUAGGUGUUGUCCUCAACUUGUUACCAACUUCUUCCUUGAUAUUUUUGAUAAUUUCAAUGUUCUAGUGUAUUAUUCCAGAAAUGUCUCUUGAGCCCCUCCAAUGUGUAAUGCAUUGUUUUCGGCCAUCAGGAGUCCAGAAAGAAGGUGUUUCUGCCAUCACGGGGCUGAGGUUCUAGUGGGGGGCUAAUAAAGGAACAAGUAGAUUGAAAAUAAGCACCAAGAAAGGAAAGAAAGCAGGGCCAGGGAUGGGGCUGCAGUGACUUCUGGGAGUUCUGUGUUAUGGAGUCAGUCUAGGACUGAUUCCAAUACAAGAUGCCAUCAGGUCCAAGACUAGAAGGAAGUGCACAACGGGGUCCUGUGGCUCUCUGGUGGCUGAACAUCUCAGACGCAGGAGUAGCAAGUUCAAAGGCACCAGGACUGGACUGUUUUGCAUGUGUUUGAGCCACAGCCAGGAGGCCUGGAUGCUGACCAGGAAAGAUGACAAGAGCAAGUGGGCAAUGAAGACAGCAGGCCAUGAGGACCAGAAUCUUCAGAAGCAGAUCAUAGGACAUUUCCUGCAACGCUGUGCCCCAGCUCUAUCGACCAGUGCUGGCUGGACAGGGCCACACCUGCCAACUCACUGACUUGAUGGUUAGAGUCCUGGAAAGUCCCCUGGAAGGAGCCAGCCAAGUUCAAGAAUGUAAAGACCAGCCUGCCCUCAAGGGGUGAGGAAGAAUAGUCUCCUCCUCCCCUGCUUUCUCCUUCUGUCUUCAUUUCCUCUCAAGACUGGCAUACACUAAGCCAUUAAGCAAGUUCACUGUCAGCCAUUCUGCUGGAUGUAUAAACAAAUACAAUGAGGUCAUAUGAUUAACUGGAUUUCAUCAAAUCUAAAAUAGAUCAAUUGUAAGUCAUGCCAUCAUCUUACGUUCCAAUAAAAAGAAAUAAUGUACUUAUUAAUAAGCACUGUUGAUCACAUGAGGCUUAACAAUUUCAGAAGUGACAAUAUGUGAAAGAAAACAUUUUUAGAAUCAACAAAAUGUAAUACUAUAUUAUUUUGCUCCUACCCUUUUAAAAUUAUAAUUUGCCUCAGAGAUCUUUCUAUGCUGAUAUUACAAGGAUUUAUUUCAUUGUUAAAAUUUUUCUAUAGUAUUCCAAAUAAGGAGAUAAGAUAAUGCGUGUGAUCAUUCAUCUAGUGAUGGAUAUUAUUUUUACAUUUGAGAACCAUGCGUUAAUGAAGAUUCUUAUGCCUUUUUGUAUAUUUUCUGAAUAGGUUCAGUUUUUAAAGGUAGGAUUAGUAAUCAUACUGAAUUUUGCUGUCAUUUUGUUCAUUAAAAAUACCUGUUAUAAUUGUGCGUGUCU